UACGACCACUUCACGUUGAAACACCGGUUCUCGUACGACCACCAAAGUUAAGCAACGUCGAGCGUGGUCAGUGCCUAGAUGGGUGAGUGCUUGGGAAUACGAGAUGCCGUAAU